rnacentral:rRNA from 1 species
CACGUAGUUAGCCGUGACUUUCUGGUUAGAUACUGUCAAGGUUGAGGCAGUUACUCCUCAACUUGUUCUUCUCUAAUAACAGAACUUUACGAUCCGAAGACCUUCUUCAUUCACGCGGCAUUGCUCCAUCAGGUUUGCACCCAUUGUGGAAGAUUCCCUACUGCGGCCUCCCGUAGGAGUCUGGGCCGUGUCUCAGUCCCAGUGUGGCCGAUCACCCUCUCAGGUCGGCUACGUAUCGUCGCCUUGGUGAGCCAUUACCUCACCAACUAACUAAUACGCCGCGGGAUCAUCUAAGAGCGACAGCAAAGCCGUCUUUCAUUCAUGAACCAUGCGGUUCGCGAAUCUAUGCGGUAUUAGCAUUCCGUUCGAAUUCGUUACCCCCCACUCCUAGGCACGUACUUCCCCACGUUAGUUACCUCCACCCGUUCGCCUACUCACUCCACACUCUGCAAGCAGAGUGCUUCAGUCGUUCGACUUGCUAUGUAUUAGGCAUGCCCGACCG